UACGUAGGCAGCGAGCGUUGUUCGGAGUUACUGGGCGUAAAGGGUGUGUAGGCGGUUCUUUAAGUUUGGUGUGAAAUCUCCCGGCUCAACCGGGAGGGUGCGCCGAAUACUGAGGGACUAGAGUACGGGAGAGGAAAGUGGAAUUCCUGGUGUAGCGGUGAAAUGCGUAGAUAUCGGGAGGAACACCGGUGGCCGAAGGGCGGCGAUCUGGGUCGAUACUGACGCUGAGG
rnacentral:rRNA from 1 species